rnacentral:rRNA from 1 species
CCUACGGGAGGCAGCAGUGAGGAAUAUUGGUCAAUGGCCGGAAGGCUGAACCAGCCAUGCCGCGUGAAGGUCAGUGCCCUAUGGGCGUUAAACUUCUUUUGUGCGGGAGCAAUAAUGGUAACGUGUGGCCAGAAGAGAGUACCGUACGCAUAAGCAUCGGCUAACUCCGUGCCAGCAGCCGCGGUAAUACGGGGGAUGCAAGCGUUAUCGGGAGUUUUUGGGUUUAAAGGGUGCGUAGGCUGGGAGGUAAGUCAGCUGUGAAAUGCCCCCGCUCAAAGGGGUGAAGUGCCAUUGAUACUGUCUUGCUGGAAUGCGGAUGCCGUGGGAGGAAUGUGUGGUGUAGCGGUGAAAUGCAUAGAGAUCACACAGAACACCGAUUGCGAAGGCAUCUCACGAAUCCGCGAUUGACGCUGAUGCACGAAAGCGUGGGUAUCAAACAGGAUUAGAUACCCGUGUAGUC